rnacentral:lncRNA from 1 species
UUAAUAGUGGCAUUGCAACCAUUUUAGUCUUGAUUGCUUGGAAGUUAGCUGGAUCACAAGAUAAUUGCCUAAAUUCAAAAGAAUCAAGACUUAUGACUGCUCUAAUGGGUGGUAUUAUUGGCCACUAUUGCUGCUGCAACGGAGACACCUGGUCAUCGGAGCUUGGAAUUCUUAGUGAUGACCAACCUCGAUUGAUCACAACCUUCAAGGUAACUAAACACGGCUUUAAUAUUGUCUCAUAUUCACAUUUCUCCUGUUUCUUUUAUGAGCUACAUUAUUUCCAGUGAUUGCUCCUGCCAUUGAGCAUUACUCUGCCUCAAUGCUUCCAUUUUUACAAAUGAAUUGAAAAGCAAACGACAAAAUUAAUCACAACUUUAUUAGUCACUCAACCCAAAUAUUUUAUUUCAACUAAAGUUUUGCUAGAUAUCACACCUACAAUCGUGACAUGAACAGAAAGAAUGCUUAUGCUGUUUGAUGUAGUUGGGGCAUCUUGCUGUUAAAUGAACUGUCCUCCACUUCUUCCUUAAACUUCUUGUGCAUGUUUGUUAUGCAAUAUCAAAAAAUAUCUUGAAACUAUCUAUUCUUCACUACCAAAUAAGCCACUAAUGUUCCGGAACAUUUUUAGUUAUCCUUGUUUUUCCUUUUAUAACAUUUCUAUGUUUUACAUUUAUCAAUAAGUUCACUCCAUGUGGUGAGCAUGGUAUGAAAUUUUUGUUACAUGGUUCAUAUUUUCAUUUAAUUUUUUGUAUGUAUGGAAACCGUUCUUCAAUAUGCCAAUAAGGCUUCUAUCUAAUGGUAAAAAGACUAAGAGAUUUUAAAACACUAAGAUGUCUCAGGUUCAUGUCCCAGUAUUUGUAUGGGUUGUUUAUUUUUCUUUUAUUUCCAAUUUAUCAGCCAGUUCAGAGGGGUACAAAUGGUGGGGUAACAAAAGCUGGACUUCUAGCAGCUGCAGCAGGAGGCAGUGUCAUUGGACUGGCAUUUGUUAUUUUAGGAUUCUUCACCACCAAAUGCCCGUUUGAUGUAGCUCUGAAGCAGCUAUUAUUGAUACCCCUUUCAGCUGUUGCAGGACUAUGUGGAAGUGUUAUAGAUUCUUUGUUGGGAGCAACAUUACAGUUCAGUGGUUUCUGCAGUGUUCGUAAAAAGGUGAGAUUUCUUUGUUUUAAUAGUUGGAUGGAUAGCUUAUACUUGAAUAUGGACUUUUUGUGUAAAUAUCAUUCCUGUUUGCUGAAUUUCCAACUAAAUCUCAAUUGGAUUAUUAAACUUUAAUUUGUCUUAGUUGGGUCACUGAAUUCAAUUUUUUUCAAAUGUCACCUACAUCUUGAAACUGCUAGAAAUUGCUUAGUUGGAUAUCUUCCAUGUUAUCAAUCUGUGGCCGGUCAAUUCAUCACUAGGCUGGGCUAGGAAAGUGUUAAAUGAAAAACAUGUCUUUUAAAAUUUUGAUCCGAGUAGUGACAUAUGAAUUUUAACACUUGUUUGACGUGCCAUGUGGUGAGUUUGCAUGCUAAGGAUCACGUGGAAAUUACGGUUGCGCUGUCAACUAAGCAAUUUUCAUCCAUUUGAGGGAUGAAAUGGAAAAAAAUGACGGAAGAAAAGUUUGAAUUACUUGAAUUCUCUCAGAAAUAUGUCAGAGUAUUUUUUCAUAAAAAAAUUUACACCAUCCACGGGUUACCGUGCAUGUACAUUUGAAGAUUUUCUGUCCUGAAUCCUAAAUUUCAUUGCAACCCACAAGGAUAAUUAUGAUAAAAGAAUCACUAUUGUGAAACUGAAAGAAGCCUCACACCAUUAACUUGAUGUCAGUUGUAUGAAUGCUAUUUUGCCAUACAAGCAUUAUAUUCAGACAACAUUUUCUGUUUCCCUCAUAGGGUUAUAUUACACAGUCCUCAGCAUGUGACUUAAUAAGAAGGUUGUGAUUGUCGUUUUAGUUUUUUUUCUUCAUGUUUCAAACAAUAUUUUCCAAGUUCUUUUGAUCCAUUUGAAAAUUACCUGAAUAUUUUGCGCACAAGUAAUAGGUUCCUUCUUUCUCCAAUUGCACAUGAUAGUCAAAAUGCAUCUGCAAAUGAUAUAUUCUAGAACGUAAAAUGCCUGAGGCUUGUUAGCUAAUUUAUGUCAUCUUUCUGGCUUUCACUAUUUCUUCUUUACAGGAUACAAGUUCUAUUUAAUAGUGGCAUUGCAACCAUUUUAGUCUUGAUUGCUUGGAAGUUAGCUGGAUCACAAGAUAAUUGCCUAAAUUCAAAAGAAUCAAGACUUAUGACUGCUCUAAUGGGUGGUAUUAUUGGCCACUAUUGCUGCUGCAACGGAGACACCUGGUCAUCGGAGCUUGGAAUUCUUAGUGAUGACCAACCUCGAUUGAUCACAACCUUCAAGGUAACUAAACACGGCUUUAAUAUUGUCUCAUAUUCACAUUUCUCCUGUUUCUUUUAUGAGCUACAUUAUUUCCAGUGAUUGCUCCUGCCAUUGAGCAUUACUCUGCCUCAAUGCUUCCAUUUUUACAAAUGAAUUGAAAAGCAAAC